GUCUGCGGCGGGGGCUUUGUUCUGAGUGAAGCAAGCGGGCGGCAGAGCUGGAGGUUUCACAAGGCUGCUGGGAGAGGCUUCGGUGCAGGAACCCAAGUCCAAGUUUGCUUCUUAGGAUGUGUAAAGCAUGGUCUUUAAGAAAGAGAACCUGGAUUUCAUUGAAUUGUAUUUAUGUCGAAUCACGAGUAAGUUAGCAAUUUCAAGCUCUGAAUGUGGAAUGAAACCAGAGAAUCUCAGAACGCUAAAGGAAUGCGUACUGUCAUCUCCUUCAGACCUCUCAGGUCGCUGUAAUGAGCUUUAUUUUCUCACUCUCUCUGCCUCUCUCUCUCUCUCUCUCUCUCUCUCUCGCUCGCUCGCUCUUUUUUUUUUUUUUUUUUUGUCUCCAAGCCAUCCCAGAUGAGUACUUUGGAGGGAGCAGAACUAGGUAAUCAGGGAGGGGCAAAUGCAUACAUUAAAACUCCCUUUUUUUAUUAAGUUCAAUUCGCAUAAAAAUACCCUGCGCAGCUGUUAUAAUCGUUAUCCCAGCUUUCGCUACUUACAGAUGAUUAAUAUUGAGUGAAAGGACUAAUACUCAUAUGAUUGAACAAACUAUUCCUCUUUCAGAGCUGUAAUUACUAGGGAUAGCCGUGAUCCUAAAUGAUAACGUCUUUUCUGGGCUUUAAUCUAUAUGUUUUGAUUAAUGAUACCAACAAACUGCUAAAACUUAAGAAAACUGGUUGAUCAUUUCAACUGUUCUUAAAAGACAGUAACUUAACAAAUUUUCUAAAGCCUUGAAGUGGAAAAAAAAAAAAAUCCCUGAUCUUGAGAUUCCAUACCCAAAUGAUCCUUUUUAAACCCUGGAGUUCAGAAGUGGCAGCAAAAGAACAGAGAAAACUGUGUGGCUCUCCCAAAGAAAGCUCACUUUUUAAAAAGAAAUUGGAGAGCCUGGUGGGUGGGUUGGGUGGCAGACAGGUGUGUCCACACUGCACCCUAGGGUAGCAUGAAAAUGGCCCACCAGAAAACUGUAAACUUAAUUAACAUAUUAUGACGUUUAUUUUGAGUUGUUUUUUUUUUUUUAAGUUCUCUUGUGCAAUUAUUAGCAUGAACUCUGUGCAUGAAAGCAACAUCAGGAGUCUGCCUGGGUCCGAGAGGAGUUCAGCCUUACUACAGCCUCAGAUGAGAACAGGAGUGGGACCAGCUCUGAGUUAGAUGAAACCCAGAAGACUUCAGAGAAAGUCCUCUAUCACUUCCAGCCCAGCCCAGUAAGGGAAACUGGGACUCUUCCUCCUUUUGUUCUACUCAAGUUGCUGCUUCCAAGGCUCUGUGACCGACAAGGGAUGGACUGGACUAUUAAUCUAAAAUGUUUAAUUUUUAAAGUCAUUUGUCAUAGAGAGUCACAACCCCGAGCAAUGAAAAUAUUUUUUAAUUCAUAGGUGAGUGUUGGGUUUUGGUUUGGUUUUGUUUUGUUUUUACCUCACUCCAAACUACUCAUCUUGGGUUUGUGUUGUCCUGGGGUUCUUCAGUUGGGUACCAGAACAGUCUGGUGCACAGUGAGUGAAGCUAUCACUGGCAAGCCUUGGCAUGAGUUGAGCAGGUGUAGUUAACUCAACAUUAAUUGUGCUCCUUGUAAUAAAUCCAUCUCUACCCUAAAGUCA
rnacentral:lncRNA from 1 species